AGAGCGAACGCUGGCGGCAGGCCUAAAACAUGCAAGUCGAACGGAUCCUUCGGGAUUAGUGGCGGACGGGUGAGUAACACGUGGGAACGUGCCUUUUGGUUCGGAACAACUCAGGGAAACUUGAGCUAAUACCGAAUGUGCCCUUCGGGGGAAAGAUUUAUCGCCAUUAGAGCGGCCCGCGUCUGAUUAGCUAGUUGGUGAGGUAAAGGCUCACCAAGGCUACGAUCAGUAGCUGGUCUGAGAGGAUGAUCAGCCACACUGGGACUGAGACACGGCCCAGACUCCUACGGGAGGCAGCAGUUAGGAAUCUGCGCAAUGGGGGAAACCCUGACGCAGCCAUGCCGCGUGAAUGAUGAAGGUCUUAGGAUUGUAAAAUUCUUUCAGCGGGACGAUAAUGACGGUACCCGCAGAAGAGCUCCGGCUAACUCGUGCCAGCAGCCGC
rnacentral:rRNA from 1 species